rnacentral:rRNA from 1 species
AUUGAACGCUGGCGGCAGGCCUAACACAUGCAAGUCGAGCGAGCGGCGGACGGGUGAGUAAUGUCUGGGAAACUGCCUGAUGAAGGGGGAUAACUACUGGAAACGGUGGCUAAUACCGCAGACCAUCAGAUGUGCCGAGGUGGGCUUAGCUAGUGGGUGGGGUAACGGCUCACCUAGGCCACGAUCCCCAGCUGGUCUGAGAGGAUGACCGGCCACACUGGGACUGAGACACGGCCCAGACUCCUACGGGAGGCAGCAGUGGGGAAUAUUCGGCAAUGGACGAAAGUCUGAUGGAGCAAUGCCGCGUGAGUGAAGAAGGUUUUCGGAUUGUAAAGCACUUUUGUCAGAGAAGCGGUACCUGAAGAGGAAGCACCGGCUAACUCCGUGCCAGCCGCCGCGGUAAUAC